rnacentral:rRNA from 1 species
CCUACGGGCGGCAGCAGUGGGGGAUAUUGCACAAUGGGGGGAACCCUGAUGCAGCGACGCCGCGUGGGUGAAGAAGCGCCUCGGCGCGUAAAGCCCUGUCAGCAGGGAAGAAAAUGACGGUACCUGAAGAAGAAGCCCCGGCUAACUACGUGCCAGCAGCCGCGGGAAUACGUAGGGGGCAAGCGUUAUCCGGAUUUACUGGGGGUAAAGGGGGCGCAGACGGCGAUGCAAGCCAGGCGUGAAAGCCCGGGGCCCAACCCCGGGACUGCUCUUGGAACUGCGUGGCUGGAGUGCAGGAGGGGCAGGCGGAAUGCCUGGUGUAGCGGUGAAAUGCGUAGAGAUCAGGAGGAACACCGGUGGCGAAGGCGGCCUGCUGGACUGCAACUGACGUUGAGGCCCGAAAGCGUGGGGAGCAAACAGGAUUAGAUACCAGAGUAGUC